rnacentral:rRNA from 1 species
GGCUCAGAACGAACGCUGGUAGCGUGGAUUAGGCAUGCAAGUCGAACGGGAUCGGGGGGUUAGCAAUAAUCUCCGUGAGAGUGGCGGAUUGGGGAGGAACACGUGAGCAACCUGCCCUUGAGUUGGGGAAAACCGUUGGAAACGACGGCUAAUACCGGAUGUGGCGCCUGGCGACAUCGCCGGAGCGCUAAAGGGGGCCGCAAGGCUCCCGCUCGAGGAGGGGCUCGCGCACCAUCAGCUUGUUGGCGGGGUAACGGCCCACCAAGGCGCACGGUUAGCUGGUCUGAGAGGAUGACCAGCCCCACUGGGACUGAGAUACUGCCCAGACUCCUACGGGAGGCUGCAGUCGAGGAUCAUUUGCAAUGGGCGAAAGCCUGACAAUGCGACGCUGCGUGGAGGAUGAAGGCCUUCGGGUUGUAAACUCCUGUCAUGGGGGAACAGGCGAGGGGACCCAAUACGUCCCUUAGUUGAGUGUACCCCAAGAGGAAUUGGCGGCUAACUCUGUGCCAGCAGCGGC